AUUUAGCUGGCUUGAGCUUUUUCUCAUUGUUGAAUCUUCUCCCAAUUUGAGCUGGUUGAGAGAUGUCUUGGGUUCUUUCGUUGUUUACUUUGCCUGUGUUUAUUUUAAUGGGUUUUCAAAGUUAAGGAUUUAUUGUUUGGUUGGGUGUUUUGGGUCUGCUUGGGGGGGUGGCAUGGGCAAUCUUUCCCUGUGUUUCUUGCCAUGUUUGUUGGGUUUUAUGUGACUUUUUUUCCUCAAUUGGUUUCUUGGGAUUUGCACCCACUAGGUUGAUGUUGUAUGGCUUGGCAAUGCGUCUAUGUUGAAAUGGGUGUCGUGUUUUGCCUGCGUAGCUAUGCCUUCUCUGCGUCUAUCAAUUAGUUCUUAUCAUCCUGCUAGCUAUGUUUUGGGUUACAAGAAGUUUUUAUAUGUGUUUCUUAGAUCUUGGUUUUGUUUACACCUCUCUUUGCAUUCCUUUUCUUUGUUUAUCUCGUUAAUUAGGGUUUUCUCAAGUGGGAAUGAUUUUCGCAUUUGUGAUUGUUUACUUUUUUUUUUUUACCUUUUUGUUUCUUUGUUGCGUACUUUCUUGCUUUAUCCUGCUAUUUGAAUUGUUAAUUUUAUUAUUUGGUUUGUUAAAUUUCUGUUCUUUGUGGGAUGAAAUUUUUAUUCUCUUUUAUAUUGUUUUGAGGAUUGCUAUGAAUUUGUUUGAUCUAUCAUGUUGUUCAAGUUGUUAUUAUGAAUCAAUUUUAAAUUUCCCUUUUGCCAUUCCUUGUUGGGAAAAAAUGAGAUAUUUUGUGUUAAAUUUUACCUAAUGUUCGAUGAGAAUAUCAGGUUGUAUUAUAUUCUCCGUUUGAGUAUUUGUUACUUGUAUGAACUUCUUAAAUUUAUUUAUUACUGUUUUUCCUGUAUUGAUCUUUAAUGGUUUAUUUUGUAGAUUUUAUCCUGAUAUUCUUUAUUAAUUUCUUUGUUAUUUUCCUAUUGCAGGAACCUUGGAUCACGAGCCUCAACCUUUAUUGAUUUGAACUUGGAGCAACAGAUUUCAAACUAUUCUUGCCAUUUUUCAAAGUUCAAGUUGGGGGAAACUUUGGUUAAAGUUUAGUAAAUCGAUUGCUUAUUCAAAUUUCUUUCUUUGUUGUGGUGGCAUAACUUCCAGUUUCUGUUUUGAUGGCUUUCAGGUAUGGCAUUUUUAUCAUAUUCUUUUCUCCUUAUUUUAUUUUUUUUAUCUUUCUCUUUAUUUUUCGCUAUGUAUGUGAAUUAGUUAUAAUAAAGACAAGUUUAAGUUUUGGGUGUACCAGCAUACAAACAUGAAAUUGAGCUAAGCUUUUGCUUAUAUGAUGUCUUAAUUGCAUGAAUCUUUAAUAUUGAUUUCAUCAAGGCUUGAAUUACCAUUAAUGUAUGUCUAUUGUUCCUUUCUGUAGCUUCUGCAAUUAUUUAUGGCUUGGUGUUAAGGUAGGCAGUAAGCUUAUCUAUGAAGUGCCCCGACAUAUUUCAUCUUUUUUAUUCGUUUAUUUUCAUUUUUGACUUUCUUUCCUUUAUUUGCUUUGUUUUUUUUUUGUUUUGCUAGCCUCUUUAAUUAUUUUUUAUGCAAUUUGUUAUAAUUUUCAUGAUGCUUUCUUCUUUAGUAGCAAUACGUUUGUUGCAAACAAAAUACAUACAACAAUAUAAAAUUAUUCAAAAAUAAAAUAUUUACCAACAUAACAAAAAAGAUUCGUUAUUACUCAUUCUAAUAGAUUUGACAAACUUGACCUACUAGAAGUAAAUCAUUUAACAAAUAAAUAAUUAUUUUGAUAGUACAUUGUCAUUAGCAUUCUACAUAAAUAUAUUAAUAAUUCUUACCAUCAACCCAUGUUUUCUACCAUUUGUUAAGUUCACUAACAUUUUCUGUUGUCAUUGAUGGUCUAUUUUCUGCUAGAAAAAUCGUUUUCAUUGUUAAGGGUAGAAUUGGCCGACAAAUAAAGGCAUAGGAAAAAUCAAUCUCAUGUUUGCAAGAAGAUCCUUUAUUUUUAGAUCAAAAGAUCUACGACCACCAUAGCUCAUCUGGAUUCAUUAUGUUUCGCAAAUAGUAGGUCAACCUCUUUUUCCUUUAGCAACAAAAACAAUUUCUUCCAAUCGAAAUUUGGACUGUUCCUUGAUAGCACAAGCGUUGUUAAAACAAUACAAUUGGAAGAGAACGCACUAUUAAAUAAAAUAAAUUUAUAACUGUUAAUGUACUGAUCGUGAUAAUUAUUGGUAUAAAAUUUGUUUCAAGCAUGGUAAAUUCUCACUGAAGGAUAAUUUUUAGUCAUUUGUUUCAAUGUAUUUUCAUUUUUGUUUGACUUUUCAUGUAUGGCUUUCAUCUUUCUAAUGAUCCCAUAAAGAUAUAGAACGCAUUGCUAGAGGCUUACUAGCCUCAAUACUGUUGUGUUUUGUGGAAUAUUGUAGGAGUGCAAAGGUAGGUUACUAUGCAUCGAGGUACAAGAAAUUUGGAAACUUAUGCUAUGUUAUUGGUGCUUUGCGAGCCUUUAUUGGGCACCAUAACCUGGACCUUAGAAUCAUGGUUAACAUUUUUAGGGAUCUAAAAAGCAACAAUUCCACUUCUGAAAGUUUAGUAUUUUCUGAUUCGUUAGGUUAUGCUAUAGCCCAUACCAUGCUCGUUUCACAUGAUAGCAUUAUGAGUUUAGACUUCAUAAAUAAUUUCAUAUCCAAGUGAAUGAGGGUGACUGGCAAACAUAUUCUCAAGUGACAGCCCUCUGUAUUGUGAAUGAAAAGUACUUUUGUGGUGGCAUGAAAAUUACACAAAAUGCUAAUCCUCAUAAUGGAAGCUUUAAGAUGGAAUAAUUUUUCUAUUAUUCUCACUAUGUCAUUUCUUGCUUUUGUUAAUUCCAAGGUACAUCUAGUAAUUUAUACAUGCUACUUCUAUAAAAGUAUGGCUGUUUGGGUGUGUUGUUCAGAUUUUAGUAGGGAGAAAAAAAGGAGUGAAAGAGAUUGGUUCAAGUCUCUCCUUUACUAAGGAUGAGAAUUUGGGGGAAUGGUUACUCCGAGGAAUAUUUUGUUGCAAUGGUUCAAUUACUUUGUGAUUGUACUAUAUCAGAAUCUUAGUAUCUUAUGAUUAUAUCAAAAAUUUUAGUUUUUGUAGGUUAUUGCCAAUGGAGAAAUGACUCUUUUUCAACUUA